rnacentral:rRNA from 1 species
UUGGAGGGCAAGUCUGGUGCCAGCAGCCGCGGUAAUUCCAGCUCCAAUAGCGUAUAUUAAAGUUGUUGCAGUUAAAAAGCUCGUAGUUGAAUUUCGGGGUUCUACCGUUGGUCGGGCUAACCAGUCUGUACUAGCGUGUAGAAUCCCUACCUUCUGGGGAACCAUCAUGUUAUUAAUUUAGCGUGGUGGGAAACCAGGACCUUUACCUUGAAAAAAUUAGAGUGUUCAAAGCAGGCUUACGUCUGAAUACAUUAGCAUGGAAUAAUAAAAUAGGACGGUGGUCCUGUUUUG